rnacentral:rRNA from 1 species
UACGUAGGGUGCAAGCGUUGUCCGGAAUUAUUGGGCGUAAAGAGCUCGUAGGCGGUCUGUCGCGUCGGCUGUGAAAACUCGGGGCUCAACCCCGAGCCUGCAGUCGAUACGGGCAGACUAGAGUGCGGUAGGGGGAGACUGGAAUUCCUGGUGUAGCGGUGGAAUGCGCAGAUAUCAGGAGGAACACCGAUGGCGAAGGCAGAUCUCUGGGCCGUAACUGACGCUGAGGAGCGAAAGCAUGGGGAGCGAACAGG